rnacentral:ncRNA from 1 species
UGGUAGAGGACGCGGAUAGGAUUAGUAUUUUGCAAUUUAACGUCGGCGAACGUUUGCAGAAGAAAGGCUGUUCCGCCGAAGUGGUCUUACGGUUGCCGCCGUUUGAUUGCUGGGAUCAUACUUAAUAGGUACGGUACUGUCACUUUUUUGUGGAGAGCUAUCAU